CAUUCCUGACGUGCUGUCUGCCUAGAGCUGGAACUCGAUGAAGCCACAGUUCCACUGAGGUUACGUUGGUAAUUAAAAGUGUCGCCCAAUAAUUCCUCCUCCUCUUUAAGUCAUCAAGCCACAUUUCCUCCACAAAACAUUAUAUUCUCCUCAAGCCAGAAAGUGUCCUCUUUAUCAAGGCAACAAACCAUCUAAGGUCAGUGACUCUCCUCCCCAGAGCAGAGUUUCUCAUCUUUAUCCAAGUUGAAUUCAUCACUGCUCACCACCUCUACUGUCCUAGAAAAUAUCCCAAAUGGACAUGGUUUAAACAGAAGUCCUCCCCUCAGACCAGUGGCUCCACAGACCAGAGUUUCUCAUCUUUAUUCAAGUUGAAUGCAACUCUGAUCAUUUCCACCACCUCACCUGUUAAGGGGAGGUGCUGAAAAGGAGGUCUGGGAGGAGGUCUGCAGGUAGCCUGGACCGGACCGGUAGCAGCUAANNNNNNNNNNNNNNNNNNNNAAGAGAGACAGAGAGAGAUUGAAAGAGAGCUUAAAGAAGAAAGAUGUAAACAGAAGAAAAUAGAGAUGGAAGAGAAAGAAAGAGAAGAAGAGAGACAGAGAGAGAUUGAAAGAGAGAAUGAUGAAGAAAUAUGUAAACAGAAGCAAAUAGAGAUGGAAGAGAAAGAACGAGAGAGGGAGAAAGAGAGACAGAGAGAGAUUGAAAGAGAGAAUGAAGAAGAAAGAUGUAAACAGAUGCAAAUAAAGANNNNNNNNNNNNNNNNNNNNCAAAUUGUGUUUUCUAUUCUUAAUUCCCUGUGUCCAUUACAUUUAAGUUGAUACCAGAUCCACUAAGUUGAAUGUGAAUUCUACUUCUUCUCCCCUCCCAGCCAUCCCUGGACACACAAGGCUAACAUCCACCAUGACCCGGGCAGAGAGAGAGAGGGAGAAGAGGAAGGAGCUGCUGAAGGAUGAGGAGAGAAGGAAGAAGUUGGAGGAUUUCAAUAAGCAGUGGAGAGAGCAGUCCCUGCUUAAAAAAAGGACUCAUCAGAAACUGAAGGAUGAGAGGGAGAGGAUGAAGGAAAAAUUCCUGGAACAGAUGAAUCUGGAGGCUGAUGCUCAAAUCAACACCCGGUGUCCAACCACCCAACACAGCCACGAUUCCAACCACGGUCAGGCAUUGCCCGGAUGGGCCACAGGCCAACAGGUAAGCCAAGAGCCUGUUGGAUCUGGAGAUGGCCAGCAGGAGGGGCCAAGGAGGCAGCAGGCAUGGGCAGAGAACCAGGAGGGGAGUUCGGAGAACCAGCAGGAGUGGCCAGAGAACCAACAGGGGGUGCCAGAGAGCCAGCAGCUAGAAGCUCCAGAAGAGGCUGAAACUUCAGAGCCAACCUCCAAGAACAAGAAAAGGCCAGGCAUCUGGAAGAGAAUUAAGAUGAGCAUUCCUGACGUGCUGUCUGCCUAGAGCUGGAACUCGAUGAAGCCACAGUUCCACUGAGGUUACGUUGGUAAUUAAAAGUGUCGCCCAAUAAUUCCUCCUCCUCUUUAAGUCAUCAAGCCACAUUUCCUCCACAAAACAUUAUAUUCUCCUCAAGCCAGAAAGUGUCCUCUUUAUCAAGGCAACAAACCAUCUAAGGUCAGUGACUCUCCUCCCCAGAGCAGAGUUUCUCAUCUUUAUCCAAGUUGAAUUCAUCACUGCUCACCACCUCUACUGUCCUAGAAAAUAUCCCAAAUGGACAUGGUUUAAACAGAAGUCCUCCCCUCAGACCAGUGGCUCCACAGACCAGAGUUUCUCAUCUUUAUUCAAGUUGAAUGCAACUCUGAUCAUUUCCACCACCUCACCUGUUAAGGGGAGGUGCUGAAAAGGAGGUCUGGGAGGAGGUCUGCAGGUAGCCUGGACCGGACCGGUAGCAGCUAAGUUGCUGGCUCCAUCCCCGGGCAGAGCUGCUCAAGUCAGGCCAGUGAUGUUUGAUGAUGUCAUUUUUGAUAGCAAAGUUUUACGCUUUAAUAAAAGCAGUUAUUAAAAAAGCAGUAUUGUUGUUACGGUGUGGAUUGUUUUGUAUUUUAUUAGAAUUGAAACAUCCAGUAGUCAUGGUAGAUGUUAGACUUUCAAUGAGACACCUAACAUUCCAUCAGUCUGACACAAUGCGUGACAUGUUAUAUUAGAGAGGAGUCCUCUAUACACAUAAAUUGCACUAUAACGGUG
rnacentral:lncRNA from 8 species